GAUGAAGAACGCAGCGAAAUGCGAUAAGUAAUGUGAAUUGCAGAAUUCAGUGAAUCAUCGAAUCUUUGAACGCACAUUGCGCCCCCUGGUAUUCCGGGGGGCAUGCCUGUUCGAGCGUCAUUUCACCACUCAAGCCUCGCUUGGUAUUGGACAACGCGGUCCGCCGCGUGCCUCAAAUCGACCGGCUGGGUCUUCUGUCCCCUAAGCGUUGUGGAAACUAUUCGCUAAAGGGUGUUCGGGAGGCUACGCCGUAAAACAACCCCAUUUCUAAGGUUGACCUCGGAUCAGGUAGGGAUACCCGCUGAACUUAAGCAUAUCAAUAAGCGGAGGA
rnacentral:misc_RNA from 1 species